GGCUACCUUGUUACGACUUAGUCCUAAUUACCGAUCCCACCUUCGACGGCUCCCUCCACAAGGGUUAGGCCACCGGCUUCAGGUGUUACCGACUUUCAUGACUUGACGGGCGGUGUGUACAAGACCCGGGAACGUAUUCACCGCAGCGUUGCUGAUCUGCGAUUACUAGCGACUCCGACUUCAUGAGGUCGAGUUGCAGACCUCAAUCCGAACUGGGACCGGCUUUUUGGGAUUCGCUCCACCUCGCGGUAUUGCAGCCCUUUGUACCGGCCAUUGUAGCAUGCGUGAAGCCCAAGACAUAAGGGGCAUGAUGAUUUGACGUCAUCCCCACCUUCCUCCGAGUUGACCCCGGCAGUAUCCCAUGAGUUCCCACCAUUACGUGCUGGCAACAUAGAACGAGGGUUGCGCUCGUUGCGGGACUUAACCCAACAUCUCACGACACGAGCUGACGACAACCAUGCACCACCUGUUUACGAGUGUCCAAAGAGUUGACCAUUUCUGGCCCGUUCUCGUAUAUGUCAAGCCUUGGUAAGGUUCUUCGCGUUGCAUCGAAUUAAUCCGCAUGCUCCGCCGCUUGUGCGGGUCCCCGUCAAUUCCUUUGAGUUUUAGCCUUGCGGCCGUACUCCCCAGGCGGGGAACUUAAUGCGUUAGCUGCGUCACGGAAUCCGUGGAAUGGACCCCACAACUAGUUCCCAACGUUUACGGGGUGGACUACCAGGGUAUCUAAGCCUGUUUGCUCCCCACCCUUUCGCUCCUCAGCGUCAGUUACGGCCCAGAGAUCUGCCUUCGCCACCGGUGUUCCUCCUGAUAUCUGCGCAUUCCACCGCUACACCAGGAAUUCCAAUCUCCCCUACCGCACUCUAGUCUGCCCGUACCCACUGCAGGCCGGAGGUUGAGCCUCCGGAUUUCACAGCAGACGCGACAAACCGCCUACGAGCUCUUUACGCCCAAUAAUUCCGGAUAACGCUUGCGCCCUACGUAUUACCGCGGGCUGCUGGCAC
rnacentral:rRNA from 1 species